rnacentral:snRNA from 1 species
GUACUCACUGAGGCAACAAAGGUACUAAAAUUGGAAUGAUACAGAGAUGGGUAGCAUGGCCCCUGAGUAAGGACUACAGGCGUAUUUAUGAAAUAUUCUAUAUUAAA